AUUAAAAUAACUCCCAUCAAAUUUGAUGGUAUAACUUCAAGGGAUUAAGAAAUAACUAUUUUGGAUGAAUAUUUUGCUCAGUGGGGUUUUUUUUGGGGGGGGGUUGUGAAUAAGUGUAUAUAAAUGUGUGGUAUAUUACGACAGUUUUAAGUGGUCGUCAGAAAAUUAAAACAGGUCUUAAGGUAUAUAUUUAACUUCCUUUGACAGCAAGGAAGGCGUUUGACCAGAGUAAAUCCUUCAGAACUUUGCAGUGGGACCUCAGAGAAUCAUCUCUGAAUGGAGGAGAAAGUUCGUGCUUCAAUAAAAUUAACCUUUGCAGAAUUCUCCCCGUCUCUCCUGCCGUCUGAUCCUUUCCCCUCUGGAUUUGGGUGCUUUUUAACUGCAGUUCAGAAAAGAUAGGGAGAGUAGAAUUUC
rnacentral:lncRNA from 1 species